AGAUUUUAUAAUCGUAUCCUAAUCUGUAGUCAUAUAGGCACCUACCAGAUAGAAACCUUUACUGUUUCAACUUCUGCUAACAAUUCAACGUUCAAAGGACAGAUCAAUCUCCUCUCAU